rnacentral:rRNA from 1 species
AGUGAACGCUGGCGGUAGGCCUAACACAUGCAAGUCGAACGGCAGCACAGGAGAGCUUGCUCUCUGGGUGGCGAGUGGCGGACGGGUGAGGAAUACAUCGGAAUCUACUCUGUCGUGGGGGAUAACGUAGGGAAACUUACGCUAAUACCGCAUACGACCUACGGGUGAAAGCAGGGGACCUUCGGGCCUUGCGCGAUUGAAUGAGCCGAUGUCGGAGUAGCUAGUUGGCGGGGUAAAGGCCCACCAAGGGGACGAUCCGUAGCUGGUCUGAGAGGAUGAUCAGCCACACUGGAACUGAGACACGGUCCAGACUCCUACGGGAGGCAGCAGUGGGGAAUAUUGGACAAUGGGCGCAAGCCUGAUCCAGCCAUACCGCGUGGGUGAAGGAAGCCUUCGGGUUGUAAAGCCCUUUUGUUGGGAAAGAAAUCCAGCUGGCUAAUACCCGGUUGGGAUGACGGUACCCAAAGAAUAAGCACCGGCUAACUUCGUGCCAGCAGCCGCAGUAA